UACGUAGGGUGCAAGCGUUAAUCGGAAUUACUGGGCGUAAAGCGUGCGCAGGCGGUUGUGCAAGUCAGAUGUGAAAUCCCCGGGCUUAACCUGGGAACUGCAUUUGUGACUGCACGGCUGGAGUGCGGCAGAGGGGGAUGGAAUUCCGCGUGUAGCAGUGAAAUGCGUAGAUAUGCGGAGGAACACCGAUGGCGAAGGCAAUCCCCUGGGCCUGCACUGACGCUCAUGCACGAAAGCGUGGGGAGCAAACAGG
rnacentral:rRNA from 1 species